AGCCUGAACGCUGGCGGCGUGGUUAAGACAUGCAAGUCGUACGGUGUAGCAAUACACAGUGGCGAACGGGUGAGUAAUGAAUCGCUAAUGUACCCCGGACUCUGGGAUAGCUGCCCGAAAGGGCAGGUAAUACCAGAUGAUAUAACUUUAUCGCAUGAUAGAGUUCUCAAAGGUCCGCCGGUCUGGGAGCAGGCGAUUUCGUAUCAGCUAGUUGGUAGGGUAACGGCCUACCAAGGCGAUGACGCGUAGCCGGACUGAGAGGUUGGCCGGCCACAUUGGGACUGAGACACUGCCCAGACUCCUACGGGGGGCUGCAGUAACGAAUCUUCCGCAAUGCACGAAAGUGUGACGGAGCGACGCCGCGUGUGGGACGAAGCCCCUUCGGGGUGUAAACCCACUGUCAGAGGAUAGAAAGUUCUGAUCAUCCUCAGAGGAAGGCACGGCUAACUCUGCGCCAGCAGCCGCGGU
rnacentral:rRNA from 1 species